GGAAGGGUCGCAUAGAGGCCGAGUGCGAAGGUCUUGAAAACCUUUAGGGUGGCAACACCCUCGUGGGUUCGAAUCCCACCCCUUCCG
rnacentral:tRNA from 1 species